AACGCACCUUGCACCCUUUGGUAUUCCGAAGGGUAUACCUGUUUGAGUGUCAUUAAUAUCUCAUCAACUUAAAGUUUUUGUGCUUUAUAUUGAUGGAUUGUGAGGGUUUGCUGGUCUAUUCAGGAUCAGCUCCCUUUAAAAGUAUUAGCUGGAACAGCAGAAUCAGCUUUGGUUUCAUAAGAUUGUUAUGUAUGCUAUUGCUGAGGAACAAAAGUAUCUGGCUUAGAAUUGUCCUUUGGGACUUGUCCAAUUGGACAAACUAUUGACAUUUGACCUCAAAUCAGGUAGGAUUACCCGCUGAACUUAA
rnacentral:misc_RNA from 1 species